UGAACGCGCAUUGCACUCUUAGGACUUCCUGAGAGUAUGUUUGCUUCGGUGCUUAUU
rnacentral:rRNA from 1 species